AAAUUGAAGAGUUUGAUCAUGGCUCAGAUUGAACGCUGGCGGCAGGCCUAACACAUGCAAGUCGAACGGUAACAGGAAGCAGCUUGCUGCUUYGCUGACGAGUGGCGGACGGGUGAGUAAUGUCUGGGAAACUGCCUGAUGGAGGGGGAUAACUACUGGAAACGGUGGCUAAUACCGCAUAACGUCGCAAGACCAAAGAGGGGGACCUUCGGGCCUCUUGCCAUCAGAUGUGCCCAGAUGGGGG
rnacentral:rRNA from 1 species